GACGGAGGGUGCGAGCGUUGUUCGGAAUUACUGGGCGUAAAGCGCGCGCAGGUGGGUGCGUAAGUCGGAGGUGAAAGCGCAGGGCUCAACCCUGCGACGCCCUUCGAGACUGCGUGUCUAGGGACCGGUAGAGGUGAGUGGAAUUCCCGGUGUAGCGGUGGAAUGCGUAGAUAUCGGGAAGAACACCGGAGGCGAAGGCGGCUCACUGGCCCGGUACUGACGCUGAGGUGCGAAAGCGUGGGGAGCAAACAGG
rnacentral:rRNA from 1 species